rnacentral:rRNA from 1 species
UACGUAGGGGGCAAGCGUUGUCCGGAUUUAUUGGGCGUAAAGAGCGUGUAGGCGGCUAGGUAGGUCCGUUGUGAAAACUCGAGGCUCAACCUCGAGACGCCGAUGGAAACCAUCUGGCUAGAGUCCGGAAGAGGAGAGUGGAAUUCCUGGUGUAGCGGUGAAAUGCGUAGAGAUCUGGAAGAACACCAAAGGCGAAGGCAGCGUCCUGGCGAGUCACUGACGCGUCGAGGUGCGAAAGCUAGGGGAGCGAACGGG